ACAGUGCAUCGUGGAGUCCGCGGCGCUUAAGGCUCGUCCAAACAGUGCUCCUCCUGUUGAGGAAAUGAAAGAGAGUGACAGGAAGAGACAUGGGGACAGAGGAGGCAUGUUUGCAAAAUGAGAAAUCCUUCCCUCCACAGCCGCGUCAGGUGAUGAGCUGCACAGCUGUUACUCAUGUCGAACCCACAGAGUCCUUCAACAUCUGCGGGGCGAUCCAUCUCUGAUCUAUUGAGGUCUGGCUCUGUGCUCUCUUGUCCGUCAACACCCACUGGUUGCGUUUUCGGAACCCAGCACGGAG